rnacentral:rRNA from 1 species
CGCGUAGGCGGUUUACUAAGUCAGAUGUGAAAGCCCCGGGCUUAACCUGGGAACUGCAUUUGAUACUGGUAGGCUAGAGUAUGGUAGAGGGGGGUAGAAUUCAUAGUGUAGCGGUGAAAUGCGUAGAUAUUAUGAGGAAUACCAGUGGCGAAGGCGGCCCCCUGGACAAAUACUGACGCUGAGGUACGAAAGCGUGGGUAGCGAACAGGAUUAGAUACCCUGGUAGUCC